rnacentral:misc_RNA from 1 species
AAACAAUAAAACUCUCCCAGCUUUUGUUUUAAUCUUCGAUGUAAUAGCCUUAAAGCUUUCGGAUAAUGAACACCAUGAUGAAGAAUUCAAAUGGGCUGAUCAAAACACUCCAGCAUGAACGUGACAAUUCUUGAAAUACAGGUUGAUGUCUUUCAUUCCAAAGCUCAUGUAAGAGACCUUUAACUGCAUUAAUCCAUGAUAGGUAAGCAUUCGCACUCAAGAGAUGGCUGCACAGUAUCAGAAGAACAUACAAAAUGGUUUCUGUUUGAACCAUCCAUAUUCUCUUUAGCACCUGGAUGUUUAAGUAAACGUUUCUUUCACUGAGAAAGUGACUCAAAUGAUAUUACAAGCUGGUGAGCCUAUAAAUUUCAAAUGCCAUAUUUAUAAACUUUUUGUUGUUGGCUGUGGUCAGAUACAACUUUCAGACACCAGAAG